CCUCCCUUCUCUCUAACAUCUCUCUACAUUCUCUCUCUAGAACACAAGAUCCGUCGACCAGAAUCCAGCCACCACACGGCGGAGCCGUGGCGGCGGCGGCCAACCACAGCGGCACGUACCGGCGGCGGUUUUCUGGCGAACCUUUCGGCGACCAUUUUCCGGCCAUAGGUACACUUUUUCUACUAAUUCUGAUGUUCCGAACACCACGAUGAGGUCCAUUUUUCUCUAAUUCAGAGUGGUUUGAGCCGUAGAGCAACUCUGAAGAGAAUUCUAGCCAAAUUCUGUCAAGUUUGUUUUCCAAGAUCUUGCUUUGAAGGAUGCUGGUAUUGCUUAUCCAAACCAUGUCAAGAUCUUGCUUUUAGGAGCCUCCAACUUAUUUAUAGUUAACUUCAACAUGCACAUCAUACCGCAUUAUAUGGUACAUCGUACCGAAGCGAUCCGAAAUGAGCCUACCCUCACUCGUACCGAAUUUUAGAGACCUAGCGAAUUGCGAUCCCGUUUCACGUACUCGUACCGGAGCGUACCACGAACUAUGUGACUGUGGUUCAUCAUUUUCACUUGAUCCAGAACUUACAUACCGUUUUUAGGAAACAAGAAUUCAAGAUAAACUAGAUAUACUGAAAGGUCAAUUUAUAGACUAUAUUUUCUGAAUUUUUACUUUUAUUGUAUAAAUCAUAUUAACCCUUGUCAAUUUGAGAGAGAUGGAGCAAAGCAACUAGAGUUGUCAUUUUUGGCCUGGUGGAAUCUGGGAAGACCACCAUUAAAAAUCAUUUGAGGACCGAUAAGUGCACAUUUUUUUUAUCAUGAUGGGAGUGUUAAUGUUUCUGAAAUUUUUGUCAAGGAGAGUUCCAUGUCAGAUUAUGUGGUGUUUGUUUUUGAUGCUAGCAAAGAUCCUAUUAAAGGGGAUGGUGUGGGUGCCUUAGUUGCAAACUGCUUGGAAAUCAAGCCAAUUGUGUGUUGUCUCAAUAAGAUGGAUCUUCUCUCGAACCCAAAAGAGGUUUACCCAAGACUGGAACAAAAGGUUUUAGAUUUUGUGAGGCCGUUUAGGUUUGAUGUGGAUGGCAUUCCAUGUGUGCCCACAUCAGGUGUGAGUGGGGAAAACUUAUCGAAGAAGUCGACAAAAUUUGGUUGGUACAAAGGGCCCACAGUUCUUGAAUCCCUUGGCCAAACGGACACCCUAUCAAAACUAAGAUAACCGCUACGUAUUGUAGUUCAUGAAGUUUUAGCUGAUGGCCGGCUUAUAAGUGGAAUGAUGCAUUUAGGUAAACUAGUUACCAGUGAAGAGAUGGUGUUUUGUCUAGGCUCUUGGUGCACAGCUGUAGAACAAAUAGUUGUUAACACCAAGUUGGUAAAGGAGGCUUACCCAGGAGAAUAUGUUACCAUGAAGCUUAAAGGACCUCUCGAUGGAAGAGAGGUCAAGCAAGGGACAGUCAUCUCCUCCCCUAUCAGAGAACCUACAAAAGAAGUUGAGAACCUAGCAGCCCGAUUGUUUGUUUAUAAUCCAAACUCAACGCUAAAAGAAGAUGCAGCGUGCUACAUAGCUUGUUGUCACAUUGCUGAAGUAACUCAUUUUUGUGACGUGCCCUAUUGCAAGCUCCCCAUUGGAUCAACAACCCAUCAAGUAACUCAUUUUUGUCGUUAAGUCUAGAACGUUUUAUUCGGUUACGUUAGGUUUUUAGGUAAUAUAUUUUUUUAUGCUGUAAUGGUUUCCUGUUUUGUAUUGAUUUGGAUUUUGUUAUUAUUACUAAAUCAAGAAAAAACAAUCUGACAAUGAAAGGGUUUACUAUUAUGUUUCAAA